rnacentral:rRNA from 1 species
GACGAACGCUGGCGGCGUGCUUAACACAUGCAAGUCGAACGGAAAGGCCCUGCUUUUGUGGGGUGCUCGAGUGGCGAACGGGUGGGUAACACGUGAGUAACCUGCCCUUGACUUUGGGAUAACUUCAGGAAACUGGGGCUAAUACCGGAUAGGAGCUCCUGCUGCAUGGUGGGGGUUGGAAAGUUUCGGCGGUUGGGGAUGGACUCGCGGCUUAUCAGCUUGUUGGUGGGGUAGUGGCUUACCAAGGCUUUGACGGGUAGCCGGCCUGAGAGGGUGACCGGCCACAUUGGGACUGAGAUACGGCCCAGACUCCUACGGGAGGCAGCGGUGGGGAAUAUUGCACAAUGGGCGGAAGCCUGAUGCAGCAACGCCGCGUGCGGGAUGACGGCCUUCGGGUUGUAAACCGCUUCCGCCUGUGACGAAGCGUGAGUGACGGUAAUGGGUAAAGAAGCACCGGCUAACUACGUG